UACGUAGGGGGCAAGCGUUGUCCGGAAUCAUUGGGCGUAAAGAGCGUGUAGGCGGCCCGGUAAGUCCGCUGUGAAAGUCGAGGGCUCAACCCUCGAAUGCCGGCGGAUACUGUCGGGCUAGAGUCCGGAAGAGGCGAGUGGAAUUCCUGGUGUAGCGGUGAAAUGCGCAGAUAUCAGGAGGAACACCUACGGCGAAAGGCAGCUCGCUGGGACGGUACUGACGCUGAGACGCGAAAGCGUGGGGAGCAAACAGG
rnacentral:rRNA from 1 species